AGAUUGAACGCUGGCGGCAGGCAUAACACAUGCAAGUCGAGCGGUAGCACAGGGAGCUUGUUCCUGGGUGACGAGCGGCGGACGGGUGAGUAAUGUCUGGGAAACUGCCUGAUGGAGGGGGAUAACUACUGGAAACGGUAGCUAAUACCGCAUAACGUCGCAAGACCAAAGAGGGGGACCUUCGGGCCUCUUGCCAUCAGAUGUGCCCAGAUGGGAUUAGCUAGUAGGUGGGGUAAUGGCUCACCUAGGCGACGAUCCCUAGCUGGUCUGAGAGGAUGACCAGCCACACUGGAACUGAGACACGGUCCAGACUCCUACGGGAGGCAGCAGUGGGGAAUAUUGCACAAUGGGCGCAAGCCUGAUGCAGCCAUGCCGCGUGUAUGAAGAAGGCCUUCGGGUUGUAAAGUACUUUCAGCGAGGAGGAAGGCAUUGUGG
rnacentral:rRNA from 1 species